AUUGAACGCUGGCGGCAUGCCUUACACAUGCAAGUCGAACGGUAACGCGGGGCAACCUGGCGACGAGUGGCGAACGGGUGAGUAAUGUAUCGGAACGUGCCCAGUUGUGGGGGAUAACUGCUCGAAAGAGCAGCUAAUACCGCAUACGACCUGAGGGUGAAAGCGGGGGAUCGCAAGACCUCGCGCAAUUGGAGCGGCCGAUAUCCGAUUAGGUAGUUGGUGGGGUAAAGGCCCACCAAGCCAACGAUCUGUAGCUGGUCUGAGAGGACGACCAGCCACACUGGGACUGAGACACGGCCCAGACUCCUACGGGAGGCAGCAGUGGGGAAUUUUGGACAAUGGACGCAAGUCUGAUCCAGCCAUGCCGCGUGCGGGAAGAAGGCCUUCGGGUUGUAAACCGCUUUUGUCAGGGAAGAAAAGGGCGACUCUAAUACAGUUGCCUCACGACGGUACCUGAAGAAUAAGCACCGGCUAACUACGUGCCAGCCGCCGCCGUAAAAC
rnacentral:rRNA from 1 species